CAGUCUGGGGUGACGCUGCAGCCCAGGAGCUGGGCAGUCAGGUCACUGAAACCCCAUUAUCUGGGAUUGCAAUUCCUGCUGCCUCAGACGGGAGACAGGACCUGGUGUGCAAAGGGAGGCUGCCCAGGAGCCCCAAUUUCCUUCUGGCCGCUUUGCCUUGGGCAGAGCCAAGGUGGGCUCUGGAAAGGCUUGCAAGCUUUCAGCAGAUCCUACAGAAGUUUGGAGCUGAAAAACCUUGUGAGCCCAGGGCCUGAACCCCUAGGAAGAUUAAAAUUCCCUACCCCUACUUCGAAAGGCACUGAGAGUCUGUCUGGCAAGACAGGUUCAUUAACAAAUUAAUAGAAUAAUCA